AGUGGGAUAGCUGGGUCAAAUGGUGGUUCCAUUCCAUGUUUUUAAAGGAAUAUCCAUACUGCUUUCCAGAUUGAUUGCACCAAUUUAUAGUCCAACCAGCAAU
rnacentral:pre_miRNA from 1 species